rfam:Ktedonobacter sp. 13_2_20CM_53_11 13_2_20cm_scaffold_1220, whole genome shotgun sequence.
AUAAAGGCCAAGAAUGGGACAAGUACCUUUUGCUUUGCACCAGAGAGCCGCGGGUCGGUGUAACGCGGCAGCAAGUUGAAGUGAAAUCCACCCGGGAGCCUGCGCGAGAAGCGUCAACGGAAACCCCCGUUAACGGGCAGAAUUGAGGCCGCAUCUACUCCUUCAUCACUAAUUUAGUGCUUCGAGUUCAGCGGUGAAUCUAGGUGGCACCACGGCAAAUACGUUUUCAGCGUUGUCGUCCUGUAU